rnacentral:rRNA from 1 species
AUGAUCCUUCUCCGUGGUCAAGUUGAUGCAGAUGGGAUGAAAAAAUUCAUACUGAAGCGAAGCCGGACCCUUUUACCUAUCAUGAUUCUGUCGGCAGGCUGGUGGACAUGCAGCAGGACAAGCUUGGGAUCACCGGCGAAGAGGUUCCGAGCUGCCCAGACGAGGUUGGAUCUGCUGUCUUUGAUGUCCUUACCGACGGCGACAUACAGCUUCCCUCCGCCGUCAUCAUCAUCAGCAUCGUGCAAGAUGGCGGCCUCUUCGUCGAUCUCUCUGAGGCUGGCGCUCCUGUUAGCCCCGCUGGCACUGGACGACGACGACCGCCCGCUCCCUCCACGCGUGAACAUCCUCUCCACCACCUCGGACUGCGGCGACCGAGGGGAGAAGGCCGGCAAUGGUGACGAUGACGGCGAAGGGAGAGAAGCGCGGGCUCUGCUGACCAUGGCCAUGUGGAACCACCAACAGUUAGCUACCACCAGAGAAGAGAAGAACCAGCUAGCAACCUCUCAGAGUGCAGAGAAGAUAAGUGAAAAAGUGCAUAUGCAAUCUCCCAAGAGAAGAGAAAACAAAAGUGAAAAAGUGCAUACCCUUAGCCUUUGA